UACGUAGGUGGCGAGCGUUGUCCGGAUUUACUGGGCGUAAAGAGCGCGCAGGCGGCUGGUCAAGUCCGAUGUGAAAGCUCCCGGCUUAACUGGGAAAUUGCAUCGGAAACUGAUCGGCUGGAAGGUGGGAGAGGGUAGCGGAAUUCCCGGUGUAGUGGUGAAAUGCGUAGAUAUCGGGAGGAACACCAAUUGCGAAGGCAGCUCGCUGGGACGUCACUGACGCUGAGACGCGAAAGCGUGGGGAAGCAACAGGGAUUAAGAUACCCUGG
rnacentral:rRNA from 1 species